UACGUAGGGUGCGAGCGUUAAUCGGAAUUACUGGGCGUAAAGCGUGCGCAGGCGGUGAUGUAAGACAGGUGUGAAAUCCCCGGGCUUAACCUGGGAACUGCAUUUGUGACUGCAUCGCUGGAGUGCGGCAGAGGGGAUGGAAUUCCGCGUGUAGCAGUGAAAUGCGUAGAUAUGCGGAGGAACACCGAUGGCGAAGGCAAUCCCCUGGGCCUGCACUGACGCUCAUGCACGAAAGCGUGGGGAGCGAAACAG
rnacentral:rRNA from 1 species